rnacentral:rRNA from 1 species
UACGUAGGGGGGCUAGCGUUGUCCGGAAUCAUUGGGCGUAAAGCGCGUGUAGGCGGCCCGGUAAGUCCGCUGUGAAAGUCGGGGGGCUCAACCCUCGGAUGCCGGUGGAUACUGUCGGGCUCGAGUGCGGAAGAGGAGAGUGGAAUUCCCGGUGUAGCGGUGAAAUGCGCAGAUAUCGGGAAGAACACCUAUGGCGAAGGCAGCUCUCUGGGACGGUACUGACGCUGAGACGCGAAAAGCGUGGGGAGCGAACAGG